rnacentral:ncRNA from 1 species
AAAAGUUUUAUUUUAACUUAAUGAUUUGCUGCAGGAUUAAUAUAUAUAUAAAUUUUAUUAUAAAAUGUUUAUUUAGUAGUAUAUAGUAUUAAAUUUUAAGGUUUCUUAGAUUUAGUAAUUUUUAAAAACAUAAACUUAAUUUGUGCCAGCAGUAGCGGUUAUACAAAUUAUGUUAGUGAAUUUUAUUGGGUUAAGUGAAAAGUGAGUUUGUUUUGAAUUUAAUAAAUUAAUUUUUAGGUGAAAUUUAAUUUUUUUUUAUGGUUUAUUAUUUAUUUUUGAUGUUUAGAAAUUUUUUUAUAGACUAGGAUUAGAUACCCUAUUAUUUUUAAUGUAAAUUUUGUGCCCUGAUUAUUAUUAGUUAUGAUCUUUAAAAUUAAAAAAUUUGGCGGUAUUUUAGUCUGUUCAGAGGAACCUGUCUUUUAAUUGAUGGUCCACGAUAAUUGUUACUUUAAUUUUAAAUUUAUAUAUCGUUGUUUUAAAAAUUUUAGUAGAAUAAAAAUUUUUUAAAUUUUUAAUAAUAAAUUAUUUCAGAUCAAGGUGUAGUUUAUAUUAAAGAUAGGAUGGGUUACAUUAAAGUAAUUUUUGGAAUUUUUAUUUAAAAUUUUAAUUAAAUUGGAUUUGAUAGUAAAUUUUUUGUUUUUGGAAGUUGAUUUAGCUCUAAAAUAUGCACAUAUCGCCCGUCGCUUUCAUUUUAAAGUGAAAUAAGUCGUAACAAAGUAGGCUUAUUGGAAAAUGAGCCUAGAAUGAUC